rnacentral:tRNA from 1 species
UCCCUGAUAGCUCAGCUGGUAAAGAACCCGCCUGCAAUGCGGGAGACCUGGGUUCGAUCCCUGGGUUGGGAA